CAAAUACUUCCUCCGUUCCAAAUUACUUGUCUUAGAUUUAUCUAGAUACGGAGGAAUCUAGCAUUAAAAUGAGUCUAGAUACAUCCGUAUCUAAACAAAUUCAAGACAAAUAAUUUGGAAUGGAGGGAGUAUAUC
rfam:Triticum aestivum genome assembly, contig: Triticum_aestivum_CS42_TGACv1_scaffold_112092_2AS